rnacentral:rRNA from 1 species
UACGAAGGGGGCUAGCGUUGCUCGGAAUGACUGGGCGUAAAGGGCGCGUAGGCGGCCUUCUAAGUCGGACGUGAAAUCCCUCGGCUUAACCGAGGAACUGCGUCCGAUACUGAAAGGCUUGAAUCCGGGAGAGGGAUGUGGAAUUCCAGGUGUAGCGGUGAAAUGCGUAGAUAUCUGGAGGAACACCGGUGGCGAAGGCGGCAUCCUGGACCGGCAUUGACGCUGAGGCGCGAAAGCUAGGGGAGCAAACGGG